AGUGAACGCUGGCGGUAGGCCUAACACAUGCAAGUCGAACGGCAGCACAGUAAGAGCUUGCUCUUACGGGUGGCGAGUGGCGGACGGGUGAGGAAUACGUCGGAAUCUACUUUUUCGUGGGGGAUAACGUAGGGAAACUUACGCUAAUACCGCAUACGACCUACGGGUGAAAGCAGGGGAUCUUCGGACCUUGCGCGAUUGAAUGAGCCGAUGUCGGAUUAGCUAGUUGGCGGGGUAAAGGCCCACCAAGGCGACGAUCCGUAGCUGGUCUGAGAGGAUGAUCAGCCACACUGGAACUGGGACACGGUCCAGACUCCUACGGGAGGCAGCAGUGGGGGAUAUUGGACAAUGGGCGCAAGCCUGAUCCAGCCAUACCGCGUGGGUGAAGAAGGCCUUCGGGUUGUAAAGCCCUUUUGUUGGGAAAGAAAAGCAGCAGGUUAAUACCCCGCUGUUCUGACGGUACCCAAAGAAUAAGCACCGGCUAACUUCGUG
rnacentral:rRNA from 1 species